rnacentral:snRNA from 1 species
AUCACUUUUCGGCCUUUUGGCUAAGAUAAAGUAUAGUAUCUGUUGUUAUCAGUUUAA